rnacentral:rRNA from 1 species
CCUACGGGGCGCAGCAGUGGGGAAUAUUGCACAAUGGGGGAAACCCUGAUGCAGCGACGCCGCGUGAGUGAAGAAGUAUUUCGGUAUGUAAAGCUCUAUCAGCAGGGAAGAAAAUGACGGUACCUGAUUCAGAAGCCCCGGCUAACUACGUGCCAGCAGCCGCGGUAAUACGUAGGGGGCAAGCGUUAUCCGGAUUUACUGGGUGUAAAGGGAGCGUAGACGGCAGCACAAGUCUGGAGUGAAAUGCCGGGGCUUAACCCCGGAACUGCUUUGGAAACUGUGCAGCGAGAGUGCAGGAGAGGUAAGUGGAAUUCCUAGUGUAGCGGUGAAAUGCGUAGAUAUUAGGAGGAACACCAGUGGCGAAGGCGGCUUACUGGACUGUAACUGACGUUGAGGCUCGAAAGCGUGGGGAGCAAACAGGAUUAGAUACCCGGGUAGUC